UGGAAAACAACUUAGACCUCGAAAAAAAAAACCGGAUAACCGGAAUCGGGCCUCAGGCGUAUGAUAGGAACGCAAUGCGUCAUCGCCGACAAUUCAAAUGUACCAGAAACACUACAUUUUCAUACUAAAAUGCUAUAUUAAUACUUAAAUAUGAUUGAAACCAGCAUUUAAUCUGAUUUGUAGAUUGAAGAAAAAAAAUUCUAAGCAGAGAUGAAUAAAUUAUACAAUAUAUUGCGUAUUACUAACUUUUUUUUGUUAAGAUUAUAUAAAGAACGGUCAGCGUUAGAGAAAAAAGAGCGAAAAAGAAGGUUGGAUUAAAACAUAGAAGGUCAAUGUGUAUCAAUAUGUGCAAUAGUUACUUGUAAGUUAGGAUAGUAGUGUAUGAAUGGAAGGAUGAAUGAUUAAGGUUAUUUGUAAACCAAGUCCACUUCUUGGCUAUGUAGCUAAAGUUAACAAUAAAUAUAUAUA